rnacentral:rRNA from 1 species
CACAUGCAAGUCGAACGGGAUGCUUAGGCAUCUAGUGGCGGACGGGUGAGUAACGCGUGAGAAUCUGGCUCCAGGUCGGGGAUAACAGUUGGAAACGACUGCUAAUACCGGAUGUGCCGAGAGGUGAAAGAUUUAUCGCCUGGAGAUGAGCUCGCGUCUGAUUAGCUAGUUGGCGGUGUAAGGGACCACCAAGGCAUCGAUCAGUAGCUGGUCUGAGAGGAUGAUCAGCCACACUGGGACUGAGACACGGCCCAGACUCCUACGGGAGGCAGCAGUGGGGAAUUUUCCGCAAUGGGCGAAAGCCUGACGGAGCAAUACCGCGUGAGGGAGGAAGGCUCUUGGGUCGUAAACCUCUUUUCUCAAGGAAGAAGAAAGUGACGGUACUUGAGGAAUAAGCAUCGGCUAACUCCGUGCCAGCAGCCGCGGUAAUACGGAGGAUGCAAGCGUUAUCCGGAAUGAUUGGGCGUAAAGGGUCUGCAGGUGGAACUGAAAGUCUGCUGUUAAAGAGUUUGGCUUAACCAAAUAAAAGCGGUGGAAACUACAGAACUAGAGUGCGGUAGGGGCAAAAGGAAUUCCUGGUGUAGCGGUGAAAUGCGUAGAUAUCAGGAAGAACACCGGUGGCGAAAGCGUUUUGCUAGACCGUAACUGACACUGAGGGACGAAAGCUAGGGGAGCGAAUGGGAUUAGAUACCCCAGUAGUCCUAGCCGUAAACGAUGGAUACUAGGCGUGGCUUGUAUCGACCCGAGCCGUGCCGGAGCUAACGCGUUAAGUAUCCCGCCUGGGGAGUACGCACGCAAGUGUGAAACUCAAAGGAAUUGACGGGGGCCCGCACAAGCGGUGGAGUAUGUGGUUUAAUUCGAUGCAACGCGAAGAACCUUACCAAGACUUGACAUCCUGCGAAUCCCGGUGAAAGCUGGGAGUGCCUUAGGGAGCGCAGAGACAGGUGGUGCAUGGCUGUCGUCAGCUCGUGUCGUGAGAUGUUGGGUUAAGUCCCGCAACGAGCGCAACCCUCGUUUUUAGUUGCCAGCAUUAAGUUGGGCACUCUAGAGAGACUGCCGGUGACAAACCGGAGGAAGGUGAGGAUGACGUCAAGUCAGCAUGCCCCUUACGUCUUGGGCUACACACGUACUACAAUGCUACGGACAGAGGGCAGCGAGCCAGGGAUGGCAAGCGAAUCCAGAAACCGUAGCUCAGUUCAGAUCGAAGGCUGCAACUCGCCUUCGUGAAGGAGGAAUCGCUAGUAAUUGCAGGUCAGCAUACUGCAGUGAAUUCGUUCCCGGGCCUUGUACACACCGCCCGUCACACCAUGGAAGUUGGUCACGCCCGAAGUCAUUACCCCAACCGAAAGGAGGGGGAUGCCUAA